rnacentral:lncRNA from 1 species
GAAGGUGCUGGUGCCUUCUGUUAACUUGGAGUUCUUGAAUACCGGGUUGGAGACAUACAUCCAGACACUAGAAAGUUAUUAAUAUGCCAUUCAGUGUUACAUCAUAUGGAGCUAGAGCAUUCCCAUCUGGAUAGUAUCAGAGUUAAUGAUGAAAGGAAAUUAGAAGCCUCUGGUUGGCCUUUGUAGUUGCUGUUAUCCCCUGGAGACAAGACUUCACCCAUGCAAGAACCACGUGGGUGAGGCUGCAAAGAAAGGAUAUUCUGCUGCAGCAGAAACACUUCUUUGAACAGCACAGGGUGCUAAAGGCAUCUCAGGAGCAUGGGCACAGCAGAGGAAAGAUGACCUGAACAUGAACCACGUCUUUCCAAGAUAAGAAGCACUGGUGGGCCUAUGGAUACACCUCAGUUGCAGGAUAAGCUGGAUUAGAAGCAAAUACAUUUGGGAGAAG